rnacentral:lncRNA from 1 species
GAUUAUUAUAUAAAAAAACAAAAUUUAAUUAUGAAAUGUAACUUGUGAAUUUUGGUGCAGGAUGAAUUGAAGUGUCCAUAACUGGAGAUCUGACCUUGAUGCGACGUAUCUAAUGACUGUUCACAGACAUACAAUCCAGUGACUUAAACCAGUAAAGAAUAUAAGAAUAUUAUUACCUGGUUUACAGGAUGAUAGUGA